rnacentral:rRNA from 1 species
UACGUAGGUGGCAAGCGUUGUCCGGAUUUACUGGGCGUAAAGAGCUCGUAGGCGGUUUGUCGCGUCUGCUGUGAAAACGCGAGGCUCAACCUCGCGCCUGCAGUGGGUACGGGCAGACUAGAGUGCGGUAGGGGAGAUUGGAAUUCCUGGUGUAGCGGUGGAAUGCGCAGAUAUCAGGAGGAACACCGAUGGCGAAGGCAGAUCUCUGGGCCGUAACUGACGCUGAGGAGCGAAAGCGUGGGGAGCGAACAGG